GCCGACGUAGCUUAGCUGGUAGAGCAGCGGUUUUGUAAACCGCAGGUCGUAGGUUCAAAUCCUACCGUCGGCU
rnacentral:tRNA from 1 species